CCGUCGCACAGGUUGACAUUUUUACCUAAAAGCUUGCGGUUUUGUACAUGAAAAAAAUUUGUGUUUCCGGUAGGUGUUCGAAAUAGGAUCAGGUGGGCUGUAAUAAUUUUUCGGAUUUUUCGUAGUCAUUUUUGAUUCAACAAGAAAAUUGUAUAUUUUUGUAAUCACGCCGUCCCCAUUCGAAUAGAUUUUGAGAUUGAAAAAUGUGUUUUUGUAAAAAAUUAAUCAACGUAUUUCUUCGACGUCGUCAAGCCUAGAUGUUUGAAACUUGUAGAAUUUUUGCGUCAGAGUACAUACACCGAAAUAUCAAAAUUGCAGAGAAAUUGAAAUUUUUUAGCCCCGAAUCGUGGGUCGAAAAUUAGUGGACUUGCCCACAUAAAUUGAAUGCGGAGAAUUUUUGGCUCGAUAAUGAGACAAUAGUCCAUUGAAGGUUGAAAUUGGAUUCUAACGUUCACGGACGAUGCGUUGUCAAUCGAUUCCAAACGCCGCCGUUGAAACAAGAGUCAUUGUUCAAGUUUUCUAGAGCUGUGUGAUAACGUUUCUGUUACAGUAUAGCAGUGAUCGCGCGGAUCGAAACCUUGACACAUGUUAAAAGUUGCGGAUUGAAUUGGGUUUAAGUUCUUUCAAGGAUGAAAUCGGUGACGAAUUUUUUCAGAAUUCAAAAUGACGUGGCGAGAAGAAGAAUAAAACUUCAUCUUCAAAUAUAAAAUAAUAAACCGGAAAACUAAAGACGUCAACAAUAGUUUGACACGUCGUUUCUUUUGAGCCAUUCGACUCCAAGUCCUAUUGUCAGUUUCAGAAUAGCACCUUUCAAUCGGCCAUUGAUAAUAGUUCAAUUUCUCUUUGACACACGGCACGACGGAUCAAAGAUUCAAGACAAAGAAUAUCAAGAGACUUGCAUCUCGAUCAACUGGAAUGUUCGAUUUAGAGAAUUAUCAAACACUAGCGGCUGCUCACCCCCCCCCCCCCCCCCCCGCAGUUACAACAAAAAUUCCAAAAUAUGCACGAAGCUUGUAUCGUUUCAAAAUUAUUAAUUUAUGAAAGUGCUGAUUAAGGAUGCAGAAUUUGCAAUAUAAACAGAUUUGACAUCGUCUUCAUUCAAGGUGCUCAACGCUCUUCAACAUUCCGAUGUGGUGACGAAUAGUCUGCAAUUUAUCGACUAGUUUUUUUUUACAACAUGUUGAUAGGUAACAUAAUUACCUGAAUCGCCAACGUAUUAUGCCGAACGUAAUUAAAUAAAAAUCUGUUCAAACUAUACUUUUUAUGUACAGUAAUGUUCGUUAAUGCAUUCCCCUUACGGCUACCUUGUUUUCGGUCCGAAACAAAAUGCGAAUUCGGUUCUACAAAAAUUAUGUGACAAUGACUUCCAUUCUCUCACGUCAACCUCAUCGCCAGUCAUUGUCACAUAAUUCGUAUAGAAUUGAACUCGCAUUUUAUUUCUGACCGAAAACAAGGUAGCCGGAAAAAAAGACAUUAAUAAAUACUACGGAGCAUACGGUAAUAUUCAUUAAUGACUUCCUCUUUAGAUUACUAUACAUACGGUGAAAUGCAUAAAUAUCUUAACUUUCCGGCUAACUUGUCUUCGAUCCGAAACAAAACGCGACUUGGAUUCUAUACAGGUUAUGUGGCAAUGCAUUCAUUUUCUCUCGUCAGCUGGAUCGCCAAUCAUUUUCACAUAAUUCGU